GCUCAGGACGAACGCUGGCGGCGUGCCUAAUACAUGCAAGUCGAGCGGACAGAUGGGAGCUUGCUCCCUGAUGUUAGCGGCGGACGGGUGAGUAACACGUGGGUAACCUGCCUGUAAGACUGGGAUAACUCCGGGAAACCGGGGCUAAUACCGGAUGGUUGUUUGAACCGCAUGGUUCAAACAUAAAAGGUGGCUUCGGCUACCACUUACAGAUGGACCCSCGGCGCAUUARCUAGUUGGUGAGGKAACGGCUCACCAAGGCAACGAUGCGUAGCCGACCUGAGAGGGUGAUCGGCCACACUGGGACUGAGACACGGCCCAGACUCCUACGGGAGGCAGCAGUAGGGAAUCUUCCGCAAUGGACGAAAGUCUGACGGAGCAACGCCGCGUGAGUGAUGAAGGUUUUCGGAUCGUAAAGCUCUGUUGUUAGGGAAGAACAAGUACCGUUCGAAUAGGGCGGU
rnacentral:rRNA from 1 species